UACGGGGGGGGCAAGCGUUGUUCGGAAUUACUGGGCGUAAAGGGCUCGUAGGCGGCCAACUAAGUCGGAUGUGAAAUCCCCAGGCUUAACUUGGGAACUGCGUCUGAUACUGGUUGGCUUGAAUUCGGGAGAGGGAUGCAGAAUUCCAGGUGUAGCGGUGAAAUGCGUAGAUAUCUGGAGGAAUACCGGUGGCGAAGGCGGCAUCCUGGACCGAGAUUGACACUGAGGAGCGAAAACCAGGGGAGCAAACGGG
rnacentral:rRNA from 1 species